AAUCAACGCUGGCGGCGUGCCUCAGACAUGCAAGUCGAACGAGAACCUCCCUUCGGGGAGGGGACAGUGGCGCACGGGUGAGUAACACGUGGGUAAUUUACCUUUGGGUGGGGAACAACAGCCGGAAACGGCUGCUAAUACCGCAUAAUGCAGCGGCUCGACAUCGAGACAGUUGUUAAAGCGGGGGAUCGCAAGACCUCGCGCCUGAAGAGAAGCCUGCGGCGGAUUAGCAGUUGGUAGGGUAAUGGCCUACCAAGGCGACGAUCUGUAACCGGCCUGAGAGGGCGGUCGGUCACACUGACACUGACAUACGGGUCAGACUCCUACGGGAGGCAGCAGUCGGGAAUUUUGGGCAAUGGGCGAAAGCCUGACCCAGCAACGCCGCGUGAAGAAUGAAGCUUUUCGGAGUGUAAACUUCAUAAGAAUGGGAAGAA
rnacentral:rRNA from 1 species